rnacentral:rRNA from 1 species
CAGUCGCGCGGUAAAACGUAGGUGGCAAGCGUUGUCCGGAAUUAUUGGGCGUAAAGGGCUCGCAGGCGGUUUCUUAAGUCUGAUGUGAAAGCCCCCGGCUCAACCGGGGAGGGUCAUUGGAAGCUGGGAAACUUGAGUGCAGAAGAGGAGAGUGGAAUUCCGCGUGUAGCGGUGAAAUGCGUAGAGAUGUGGAGGGACACCAGUGGCGAAGGCGACUCUCUGGUCUGUAACUGACGCUGAGGAGCGAAAGCGUGGGGAGCGAACAGGAUUAGAUACCCGUGUAGUCCCUGUCUCUUAUACA